ACCUCAACUUUCCGCCUCUGCAAGAAGACCUGCAAGAAAGUACCUUGGUACAUCAUUUUCCAAUCCCGAAUCUGAAUAUCGCAAAGUUAAGGUUCACAAAGAUAAUAGACCGUCUGCGGAAGGAAUUUCCUCCAACAUGCCUGGAUAUGAAGCAAGUGUUGAUAAUUUGGGUGAAUUUGUCUACCACAUCGACUAUCAUGGAGUGACAACGCAUCCAAAUCCAACCCCAAAACAUCCGUAGCCAUAGGCUACGUAUCAACUUUUAAGAUGGGAUGAACUAUUCAUACAUGUACUGCACUACAUUUAGACUCUUUUUUAAGAUUAAAUAAUACUCUUAUUUGUUUUCA